rnacentral:lncRNA from 1 species
AUGGCCAGUCCAUUGCAGGGUAUCCUGCAGCUGCUACAGACCGAGAAGCAGGCUGCUGAGAAGGUUUCCAAGGCCCACAGGCAGAUGAACCGGGGGCUGAAGCAGGCCAAAGAAGUAGCUUAGGCUGAAAUUGAACAGUGCCGCCUGCAGAGGGUAAAAAGAGUUCAAGGCGAACGAAGCUGAAGCACUGAAGUGGAGAAGGAGGCCCAGGAGAAAAGAUGAUCACCCUCCAGACCUACUUCCAGCAGAACAAGGAUGAAGUCUUGAAUAACCUCUUGGCCUUUGUCUGCAACAUCCGGCCAGAAAUCUGUGAAAACUGCUGCAUAAAUGGGUAG